ensembl:misc_RNA Metazoa_SRP Metazoan signal recognition particle RNA
GCUGGGCGUGGUGGUGCACGCCUGUAAUCCCAGCUACUUGGGAGGCUGAGGCAGGAGAAUCACUUGAAUCCAGGAGGCGGAGGUUGCAGUGAGCUGAGAUUGUGCCAUUGCACUUCAGCCUGGGCAAUAGAGUGAGACUCAGUCUCAA